GACGAACGCUGGCGGCGUGCCUAAUACAUGCAAGUUGAGCGCUGAAGGUUGGUCCUUGUACCAACUGGAUGAGCAGCGAACGGGUGAGUAACGCGUGGGGAGUCUGCCUUUGAGCGGGGGACAACAUUUGGAAACGAAUGCUAAUACCGCAUAAAAACUUUAAACACAAGUUUUAAGUUUGAAAGAUGCAAUUGCAUCACUCAAAGAUGAUCCCGCGUUGUAUUAGCUAGUUGGUGAGGUAAAGGCUCACCAAGGCGAUGAUACAUAGCCGACCUGAGAGGGUGAUCGGCCACAUUGGGACGGAGACACGGCCCAAACGCCUGCGGGAGGCAGCAGUAGGGAAUCUUCGGCAAUGGACGAAAGUCUGACCGAGCAACGCCGCGUGAGUGAAGAAGGUUUUCGGAUCGUAAAACUCUGUUGGUAGAGAAGAACGUUGGUGAGAGUGGAAAGCUCAUCAAGUGACGGUAACUACCCAGAAAGGGACGGCUAACUACGUG
rnacentral:rRNA from 1 species